GACGAACGCUGGCUGCGUGCUUAACACAUGCAAGUCGAACGGAAAGGCCCUGCUUUUGUGGGGUGCUCGAGUGGCGAACGGGUGAGUAACACGUGAGUAACCUGCCCUUGACUUUGGGAUAACUUCAGGAAACUGGGGCUAAUACCGGAUAGGAGCUCCUGCUGCAUGGUGGGGGUUGGAAAGUUUCGGCGGUUGGGGAUGGACUCGCGGCUUAUCAGCUUGUUGGUGGGGUAGUGGCUUACCAAGGCUUUGACGGGUAGCCGGCCUGAGAGGGUGACCGGCAACAUUGGGACUGAGAUACGGCCCAGACUCCUACGGGAGGCAGCAGUGGGGAAUAUUGCACAAUGGGCGGAAGCCUGAUGCAGCAACGCCGCGUGCGGGAUGACGGCCUUCGGGUUGUAAACCGCUUUCGCCUGUGACGAAGCGUGAGUGACGGUAAUGGGUAAAGAAGCACCGGCUAACUACGUG
rnacentral:rRNA from 1 species